rnacentral:rRNA from 1 species
AACGAACGCUGGCGGCAUGCCUAACACAUGCAAGUCGAACGAGACCUUCGGGUCUAGUGGCGCACGGGUGCGUAACGCGUGGGAACCUGCCUUUAGGUUCGGAAUAACUCAGAGAAAUUUGAGCUAAUACCGGAUGAUGUCUUCGGACCAAAGAUUUAUCGCCUUUAGAUGGGCCCGCGUUGGAUUAGCUAGUUGGUGGGGUAAAGGCCUACCAAGGCGACGAUCCAUAGCUGGUCUAGAGGAUGAUCAGCCACACUGGGACUGAGACACGGCCCAGACUCCUACGGGAGGCAGCAGUGGGGAAUAUUGGACAAUGGGCGAAAGCCUGAUCCAGCAAUGCCGCGUGAGUGAUGAAGGCCUUAGGGUUGUAAAGCUCUUUUACCCGAGAUGAUAAUGACGGUAUCGGGAGAAUAAGCUCCGGCUAACUCCGUG